UGAUUUUAUCUCGGCCACCUAGAGCUUCUUUCAGAAAGAUCUGCUAUAUCUAUAUAGAGUAUCUCUACAGAAUGGUACAGGGGGAAUCCGGGUAGAAGUGUUUAUUUGGAGUGGUGGUCUCUCCACCCCUAAUCCCCGAACUCUCGAGGGAGCAUCUUCGGAGGGUAGAAAACUGUGAGAAGAAACGUUUCGCCGACCGUACACUGAGAUCAUAUUUUUUACUCAAAGUUUGUCAUAGGCAUAUCUCGGUUAAAUUGCAAAGUCUUUAUUGAAUUUAUCCUUAAUUAAAACACAGUAUGUUAAAAGAAGAUAUAAUAAAUGUAAAUUUUAGUGGAUUUGAUUACUUCAAGCUACAAAAUUAAGUAAGAUUAUAAUCGUCAUCAUUGCAUGAUGGAGCGUGCAGCCUGCAAAAAUCGUUACGAGAGUGCUGCGCCGAUCAUAAAGAGGCGCAUCGGAGGACAAUGGCUUUCGGAUAUUAAAAUGGCACGUGACAGACAAAAGGCACCAAAAUGCACAGUACGUGUUAACGAAUUAGGGUGGAAUGACGAGUAUAUGAGACACGCUGACUCAACUUAAUGGACAUUGAACGGCAUUCAGCACUCUCGUGCUCUACAACAUGACUUUAUGCUUUUUGUAUAUUUUCUAUUAUUAAUCGUAUACUUUAAAAUAUACUUUAGAAACAUAAAAAAAUAUAGACUUAGAUAACA